rnacentral:ncRNA from 1 species
GGUCAAGUUAUUAAGAGCAUAGGGUGAAUGCCUUGGCACCAGGAGCCGAAGAAGGACGGGAUAAGCGCCGAAACGCUACGGGGAGUCGCAAGUAGACAUUGAUCCGUAGAUAUCCGAAUGGGGAAACCCACCUAAGGUAAACCUUAGGUAUCACUUACUGAAUACAUAGGUAAGUGAAGGUAAACCAGGGGAACUGAAACAUCUAAGUACCCUGAGGAAGAGAAAGAAACAUCGAUUUCCUAAGUAGCGGCGAGCGAAAGGGAAAGAGCCCAAACCUGUAAAAG